UUAAAAGCGAUGAAGAGAAGAGUAAGAAUAGAGUAAUUCUACAGAGAGCCAGAGAAGGUGAAAGCUGGUGUUUUGACGAUAUUCUGAAUAUGGACUUGGAGCUUUUUGGUCGAGCAUAGAUGUAAGACCUAAACGUUUAGACACGUUAUAGUCUACUUGAGAUAUCCACUAUUUGUAUAUAUUGUGGAUAAAUUAGGGUGGUACCGCGAAUACAAUCGCCCCUAUG
rnacentral:ncRNA from 1 species